rnacentral:tRNA from 1 species
AGGGCUGUAGUUAAUUAUAACAUUUGGUUUGCACCUAGAAGGUAUUGUACGCAAUCAGUCUUA